rnacentral:rRNA from 1 species
AGCUCCAAUAGCGUAUAUUAAAGUUGUUGCAGUUAAAAAGCUCGUAGUUGGAUUUCGGAGUGGGCCAGUUGGUCCGCCGCAAGGUGUGUUACUGCCUGGUUUGCUCUUCUUCGCCAAGACUGCGUGUGCUCUUCAGUGAGUGUGCGUAGGAUUUACGACGUUUACUUUGAAAAAAUUAGAGUGUUCAAAGCAGGCUAUUGCUUGAAUACAUGAGCAUGGAAUAAUGGAAUAGGACUUUGGUCCCAUUUUGUUGGUUUCUAGGGCCGAAGUAAUGAUUAAGAGGGACAAUUGGGGGCAUCCGUAUUUCGUUGUCAGAGGUGAAAUUCUUGGAUUUACGAAAGACGAACAACUGCGAAAGCACUUGCCAAGAGUGUUUUCA